rnacentral:rRNA from 1 species
ACGGCAGCGCGGACUUCGGUCUGGCGGCGAGUGGCGAACGGGUGAGUAAUAUAUCGGAACAUGCCCUGAAGUGGGGGAUAACGUAGCGAAAGUUACGCUAAUACCGCAUAUUCUGUGAGCAGGAAAGCAGGGGAUCGCAAGACCUUGCGCUUUAGGAGUGGCCGAUAUCGGAUUAGCUAGUUGGUGAGGUAAAGGCUCACCAAGGCGACGAUCCGUAGCGGGUCUGAGAGGAUGAUCCGCCACACUGGGACUGAGACACGGCCCAGACUCCUACGGGAGGCAGCAGUGGGGAAUUUUGGACAAUGGGCGCAAGCCUGAUCCAGCCAUGCCGCGUGAGUGAAGAAGGCCUUCGGGUUGUAAAGCUCUUUCGGCGGGGAAGAAAUUGCACUUGUUAAUACCGAGUGUAGAUGACGGUACCCGCAUAAGAAGCACCGGCUAACUACGUGCCAGCAGCCGCGGUAAU